UCUCGGUUUUUGCCUCCGACGAGGUCCUUCCCGGCCUCCGUUCGAUGCAAUUUUUAUAUCACCGUGAUCACCAUUCUUUUCUCUACAGGUUGACCGGAGCCGAAUCACCAAACCACGAACCUCGCCGGAGAGCCGCCGCACCCGAGAGCGCCGCCGCCAGUAAGCUCCGCUUCUCCGUGAUUUUUUGGCCCCCCGAGGGCCCUAGGGUUGUUUUCUCGCAGGGACCGAUGCGAGUGUGGCCGAAUUCGGCGGAGCCGCCGUGCCGGAGUUGCGGUAUUGGCCAAAAAGGGGCCCUGAGCCUAAUUUGAGAUUUUUUGGAACACGUGCAGGUACCGUUAGUGUGUUUCAGUUCCCCGGAAAAAAUUCAGAGAAAAUUAGGGACGGCCUGUAGGCGCACUGUGAAUCGUAUUCGGAUCCCGAAAAUAAGUAAGGACCCCUCACCCUAUUUCCUAUCACGGUAUUAAAGUUCAAAAUGAUAAAACGGUAUUUCUUGAAUUAACGCAUGUGUGAAAUUGCUUAAGG
rnacentral:lncRNA from 1 species